CUUUCACAUCUGCUUGUCAGUGUGUAUGUGGUACAUCAUGUGAAAUGUGCGCACGGAUUCGUAUUGGCAACACUGCAACAGCAGGUCAAGGACAUGUGGUGUACAAUGCCACUGAUGACCUGCUGCUUCCUCUGCUGCGCCUACUAGCUUCCAGCCUCACCACCCAGCUUUCGCCUCCACCUUCGAACACCAUCAGUACACUCCUCUCCACCUGUUCACCUUGUGUCCAGUAACCACUCGGACUCUUCGCCGUCAGCUCUCCUCCAGCUUCGGACCUGCCAGGAGUUUCCCAGCCCUGCCCCUGCCUACAAAGUACUCUCUGAGUACCCUGUUUCUCCAUUAAAACCUUUUGAACCUACCU